GGGUUGUGAGGUUAAGCGACUAAGCGUACACGGUGGAUGCCCUGGCAGUCAGAGGCGAUGAAGGACGUGCUAAUCUGCGAUAAGCGUCGGUAAGGUGAUAUGAACCGUUAUAACCGGCGAUUUCCGAAUGGGGAAACCCAGUGUGUUUCGACACACUAUCAUUAACUGAAUCCAUAGGUUAAUGAGGCGAACCGGGGGAACUGAAACAUCUAAGUACCCCGAGGAAAAGAAAUCAACCGAGAUUCCCCCAGUAGCGGCGAGCGAACGGGGAGGAGCCCAGAGCCUGAAUCAGUGUGUGUGUUAGUGGAAGCGUCUGGAAAGGCGCGCGAUACAGGGUGACAGCCCCGUACACAAAAAUGCACAUGCUGUGAGCUCGAUGAGUAGGGCGGGACACGUGGUAUCCUGUCUGAAUAUGGGGGGACCAUCCUCCAAGGCUAAAUACUCCUGACUGACCGAUAGUGAACCAGUACCGUGAGGGAAAGGCGAAAAGAACCCCGGCGAGGGGAGUGAAAAAGAACCUGAAACCGUGUACGUACAAGCAGUGGGAGCACGCUUAGGCGUGUGACUGCGUACCUUUUGUAUAAUGGGUCAGCGACUUAUAUUCUGUAGCAAGGUUAACCGAAUAGGGGAGCCGAAGGGAAACCGAGUCUUAACUGGGCGUUAAGUUGCAGGGUAUAGACCCGAAACCCGGUGAUCUAGCCAUGGGCAGGUUGAAGGUUGGGUAACACUAACUGGAGGACCGAACCGACUAAUGUUGAAAAAUUAGCGGAUGACUUGUGGCUGGGGGUGAAAGGCCAAUCAAACCGGGAGAUAGCUGGUUCUCCCCGAAAGCUAUUUAGGUAGCGCCUCGUGAAUUCAUCUCCGGGGGUAGAGCACUGUUUCGGCAAGGGGGUCAUCCCGACUUACCAACCCGAUGCAAACUGCGAAUACCGGAGAAUGUUAUCACGGGAGACACACGGCGGGUGCUAACGUCCGUCGUGAAGAGGGAAACAACCCAGACCGCCAGCUAAGGUCCCAAAGUCAUGGUUAAGUGGGAAACGAUGUGGGAAGGCCCAGACAGCCAGGAUGUUGGCUUAGAAGCAGCCAUCAUUUAAAGAAAGCGUAAUAGCUCACUGGUCGAGUCGGCCUGCGCGGAAGAUGUAACGGGGCUAAACCAUGCACCGAAGCUGCGGCAGCGACGCUGAUGCGUUGUUGGGUAGGGGAGCGUUCUGUAAGCCUGCGAAGGUGUGCUGUGAGGCAUGCUGGAGGUAUCAGAAGUGCGAAUGCUGACAUAAGUAACGAUAAAGCGGGUGAAAAGCCCGCUCGCCGGAAGACCAAGGGUUCCUGUCCAACGUUAAUCGGGGCAGGGUGAGUCGACCCCUAAGGUGAGGCCGAAAGGCGUAGUCGAUGGGAAACAGGUUAAUAUUCCUGUACUUGGUGUUACUGCGAAGGGGGGACGGAGAAGGCUAUGUUGGCCGGGCGACGGUUGUCCCGGUUUAAGCGUGUAGGCUGGUUUUCCAGGCAAAUCCGGAAAAUCAAGGCUGAGGCGUGAUGACGAGGCACUACGGUGCUGAAGCAACAAAUGCCCUGCUUCCAGGAAAAGCCUCUAAGCAUCAGGUAACAUCAAAUCGUACCCCAAACCGACACAGGUGGUCAGGUAGAGAAUACCAAGGCGCUUGAGAGAACUCGGGUGAAGGAACUAGGCAAAAUGGUGCCGUAACUUCGGGAGAAGGCACGCUGAUAUGUAGGUGAAGUCCCUUGCGGAUGGAGCUGAAAUCAGUCGAAGAUACCAGCUGGCUGCAACUGUUUAUUAAAAACACAGCACUGUGCAAACACGAAAGUGGACGUAUACGGUGUGACGCCUGCCCGGUGCCGGAAGGUUAAUUGAUGGGGUCAGCGCAAGCGAAGCUCUUGAUCGAAGCCCCGGUAAACGGCGGCCGUAACUAUAACGGUCCUAAGGUAGCGAAAUUCCUUGUCGGGUAAGUUCCGACCUGCACGAAUGGCGUAAUGAUGGCCAGGCUGUCUCCACCCGAGACUCAGUGAAAUUGAACUCGCUGUGAAGAUGCAGUGUACCCGCGGCAAGACGGAAAGACCCCGUGAACCUUUACUAUAGCUUGACACUGAACAUUGAGCCUUGAUGUGUAGGAUAGGUGGGAGGCUUUGAAGUGUGGACGCCAGUCUGCAUGGAGCCGACCUUGAAAUACCACCCUUUAAUGUUUGAUGUUCUAACGUUGACCCGUAAUCCGGGUUGCGGACAGUGUCUGGUGGGUAGUUUGACUGGGGCGGUCUCCUCCUAAAGAGUAACGGAGGAGCACGAAGGUUGGCUAAUCCUGGUCGGACAUCAGGAGGUUAGUGCAAUGGCAUAAGCCAGCUUGACUGCGAGCGUGACGGCGCGAGCAGGUGCGAAAGCAGGUCAUAGUGAUCCGGUGGUUCUGAAUGGAAGGGCCAUCGCUCAACGGAUAAAAGGUACUCCGGGGAUAACAGGCUGAUACCGCCCAAGAGUUCAUAUCGACGGCGGUGUUUGGCACCUCGAUGUCGGCUCAUCACAUCCUGGGGCUGAAGUAGGUCCCAAGGGUAUGGCUGUUCGCCAUUUAAAGUGGUACGCGAGCUGGGUUUAGAACGUCGUGAGACAGUUCGGUCCCUAUCUGCCGUGGGCGCUGGAGAACUGAGGGGGGCUGCUCCUAGUACGAGAGGACCGGAGUGGACGCAUCACUGGUGUUCGGGUUGUCAUGCCAAUGGCACUGCCCGGUAGCUAAAUGCGGAAGAGAUAAGUGCUGAAAGCAUCUAAGCACGAAACUUGCCCCGAGAUGAGUUCUCCCUGACUCCUUGAGAGUCCUGAAGGAACGUUGAAGACGACGACGUUGAUAGGCCGGGUGUGUAAGCGCAGCGAUGCGUUGAGCUAACCGGUACUAAUGAACCGUGAGGCUUAACCUUACAACGCCGAAGGUGUUU
rnacentral:rRNA from 1 species